CCUACGGGAGGCAGCAGUAAGGAAUAUUGGUCAAUGGACGCAAGUCUGAACCAGCCAUGCCGCGUGAAGGAUUAAGGCCCUCUGGGUUGUAAACUUCUUUUAUAGGGGACGAAAAAAGGGCAUUCUUGCUCACUUGACGGUACCCUAGGAAUAAGCACCGGCUAACUCCGUGCCAGCAGCCGCGGUAAUACGGAGGGUGCAAGCGUUAUCCGGAUUUACUGGGUUUAAAGGGUGCGUAGGUGGGUUGGUAAGUCAGUGGUGAAAUCUUCGAGCUUAACUCGGAAACUGCCAUUGAUACUAUCAAUCUUGAAUCAUCUAGAGGUAAGCGGAAUAUGUCAUGUAGCGGUGAAAUGCUUAGAUAUGACAUAGAACACCAAUUGCGAAGGCAGCUUACUAUGGAUGUAUUGACACUGAGGCACGAAAGCGUGGGGAUCAAACAGGAUUAGAUACCCUGGUAGUCCACGACCUAACGAUAGAUACUACACAUUAGUGUAUAUACUAUAAGUAGU
rnacentral:rRNA from 1 species